rnacentral:rRNA from 1 species
GAGGUUUGAUCAUGGCUCAGAUUGAACGCUGGCGGCAGGCCUAACACAUGCAAGUCGAACGGUAACAGGAAACAGCUUGCUGUUUCGCUGACGAGUGGCGGACGGGUGAGUAAUGUCUGGGAAACUGCCUGAUGGAGGGGGAUAACUACUGGAAACGGUAGCUAAUACCGCAUAACGUCGCAAGACCAAAGAGGGGGACCUUCGGGCCUCUUGCCAUCGGAUGUGCCCAGAUGGGAUUAGCUAGUAGGUGGGGUAACGGCUCACCUAGGCGACGAUCCCUAGCUGGUCUGAGAGGAUGACCAGCCACACUGGAACUGAGACACGGUCCAGACUCCUACGGGAGGCAGCAGUGGGGAAUAUUGCACAAUGGGCGCAAGCCUGAUGCAGCCAUGCCGCGUGUAUGAAGAAGGCCUUCGGGUUGUAAAGUACUUUCAGCGGGGAUGAAGGGAGUAAAGUUAAUACCUUUGCUCAUUGACGUUACCCGCAGAAGAAGCACCGGCUAACUCCGUGCCAGCAGCCGCGGUAAUACGGAGGGUGCAAGCGUUAAUCGGAAUUACUGGGCGUAAAGCGCACGCAGGCGGUUUGUUAAGUCAGAUGUGAAAUCCCCGGGCUCAACCUGGGAACUGCAUCUGAUACUGGCAAGCUUGAGUCUCGUAGAGGGGGGUAGAAUUCCAGGUGUAGCGGUGAAAUGCGUAGAGAUCUGGAGGAAUACCGGUGGCGAAGGCGGCCCCCUGGACGAAGACUGACGCUCAGGUGCGAAAGCGUGGGGAGCAAACAGGAUUAAAUACCCUGGUAGUCCACGCCGUAAACGAUGUCGACUUGGAGGUUGUGCCCUUGAGGCGUGGCUUCCGGAGCUAACGCGUUAAGUCGACCGCCUGGGGAGUA